rnacentral:RNase_P_RNA from 1 species
CGAGCCGGGCGGACGGCCGCGUGGAGAUCUUCGGAUCUUCCCGAGGAACGUCCGGGCUCCACAGGGCAAGGUGGUGGCUAACGGCCACCCGGGGUGACCCGCGGGACAGUGCCACAGAAAACAGACCGCCGGGGGCCGUAUCCGUACGGGCCUCGGUAAGGGUGAAACGGUGGUGUAAGAGACCACCAGCGCCUGAGGUGACUCAGGCGGCUAGGUAAACCCCACCUGGAGCAAGGUCAAGAGAGGCCGUCGCAAGACGGCCUUGCGCGGACGAUCGAGGGCUGCCCGCCCGAGUCCGCGGGUAGACCGCACGAGGCCGGCGGCAACGCCGGUCCUAGAUGGAUGGCCGUCUCCCCGGCCGCCGCGAGGCGACCGGGCGACAGAACCCGGCGUACAGCCCGACUCGUCUG